rfam:Triticum aestivum genome assembly, contig: Triticum_aestivum_CS42_TGACv1_scaffold_211503_3AS
CUUAUACUCCCUCCAUCCCAAAAUUCUUGUCUUAGAUUAGUUUAGAUACGGAUGUAUCUAAUACCAAACGUGACUUGAUACAUCCGUAUUUAGACAAAUCUAAGACAAGAAUUUUGGGACGGAGGGAGUAUUUC